CCUACGGGCGGCAGCAGUGAGGAAUAUUGGUCAAUGGGCGCUAGCCUGAACCAGCCAAGUAGCGUGAAGGAUGACUGCCCUAUGGGUUGUAAACUUCUUUUAUAUGGGAAUAAAGUGCAGUAUGUAUACUUCUUUGCAUGUACCUUAUGAAUAAGGAUCGGCUAACUCCGUGCCAGCAGCCGCGGUAAUCCGGAGGAUCCGAGCGUUAUCCGGAUUUAUUGGGUUUAAAGGGUGCGUAGGCGGAUUUUUAAGUCAGCGGUAAAAGGGCCGGGCUCAACCCGGGCCGGCCGUUGAAACUGGGGAGCUGGAGUGGGCGAGAAGUAGGCGGAAUGCGUGGUGUAGCGGUGAAAUGCAUAGAUAUCACGCAGAACUCCGAUUGCGAAGGCAGCAUACCGGCGCCCGACUGACGCUGAGGCACGAAAGCGUGGGGAUCGAACAGGAUUAGAUACCCCAGUAGUC
rnacentral:rRNA from 1 species